GUAGGUGGCAAGCGUUAUCCGGAAUUAUUGGGCGUAAAGCGCGCGCUGGCGGUUUCUUAAGUCUGAUGUGAAAGCCCACGGGCUCAACCGUGGAGGGUCAUUGGAAACUGGGGAACUUGAGUGCAGAAGAGAAAAGCGGAAUUCCACGUGUAGCGGUGAAAUGCGUAGAGAUGUGGAGGAACACCAGUGGCGAAGGCGGCUUUUUGGUCUGUAACUGACGCUGAGGCGCGAAAGCGUGGGGAGCAAACAGGAUUAGAUACCCUGGUAGUCCACGCCGUAAACGAUGAGUGCUAAGUGUUAGAGGGUUUCCGCCCUUUAGUGCUGCAGCUAACGCAUUAAGCACUCCGCCUGGGGAGUACGGUCGCAAGACUG
rnacentral:rRNA from 1 species